rnacentral:rRNA from 1 species
GACGAACGCUGGCGGCGUGCUUAACACAUGCAAGUCGAACGAAGUGGCGAACGGGUGAGUAACGCGUAAUCAACCUGCCCUUCAGAGGGGGACACCAGUUGGAAACGACUGCUAAUACCGCAUACUGAAGGAGGGGAUUGCGUCUGAUUAGCUGGUUGGAGGGGUAACGGCCCAACAAGGCGAUGAUCAGUAGGCGGGUUGGGAGGAUGAACGGCCAAAUUGGGACUGAGACACGGCCCAGAAUCCCACGGGAGGCAGCCGUGGGGAAUCUUCCGAAAUGGAGGAAAGUCUGACGGAGCAACGCCGCGGGAGUGAGGACGGCCUUCGGGUGGGAAAGCUCUGUUAAUCGGGACGCGGUACCGGAAUAGAAAGCCACGGCUAACUACGUGCCAGCCGCCGCGGUAAUAC